UGCUAAUCAAUAAUCAUUUUGUCAUAAACAUCUAGGUUUUUUGUCCUUGAAAAGGGUCAAAACACGAUAAAUGUCAAAAAAUGUCACAUUUUGAGGAAAUUCGAAAAAAAAUUAAAACGGAUUCAGAAUCCUUGAAUAAUUAUGCUUAUGAAAAGCUAAAUUAUCUGGUUUUUGAACUGUCUAAUUUCAACAAAAAAAUUAAAAGCACUAGAUACAACUAAACUUUAUCUUUACGAACCAAACUUUGGCCGAUACCUCAAAAACUGUUAGCCGUAGAUGAAAAAUAAGGACAGUUUUGGAAUCCUCAGACUAUUUUACGUAAGAAAAACUUACUUUACAGAUGGUUUGACUCUCCAGAUUACCAAAAAUAAUUAAAUAAAAUAUUCAGAA